GAUGAAGAACGUAGCGAAAUGCGAUAAGUAGUGUGAAUUGCAGAAUUCAGUGAAUCAUCGAAUCUUUGAACGCACAUUGCGCCCCUUGGUAUUCCAUGGGGCAUGCCUGUACGAGCGUCAUUUGUACCUUCAAGCUUUGCUUGGUGUUGGGUGUUUGUCUCGCCUUUGCGUGUAGACUCGCCUUAAAAUAAUUGGCAGCCGGCGUAUUGAUUUCGGAGCGCAGUACAUCUCGCGCUUUGCACUCAUAACGACAGCGUCCAAAAGUACAUUUUACACUCUUGACCUCGGAUCAGGUAGGGAUACCCGCUGAACUUAAGCAUAUCAAUAAGAGGAGGA
rnacentral:misc_RNA from 1 species